GGUAAACUGUGUGCUUCUAAGCUCAGGCUGCUGUGAAAUGCUCUCUGCACUGCUGCACCCCUGAGCAGGUACAUUUUGGCAAUGUUUCCUGACCUCAACCAGCCUGGUGGCCCUGCUAGUCCUCUCCAGCUUCCAGCAGAUCGGUGCUCAUCCUGGAGGGGCCGUUCACACCCACCAAGUCCUGCUGAAAGGGAAUGCCUAGAGCCAGGACAUGCUGAAGUCAAGCUCAGAAACAAGCUCCUUGUUAUGUCUGCUCCAGUAAGGCUUCAGGAGAAGCUGGUUUUGAUGGAUUUCUGGAUGAGAUGGGUCUGAGCCACCUGGCACAUGCCCAGCACUGAUUAAGCAAGGCCUGCCUGUGCCCACCUCCUUGCAACACCGCAGCAUCCUCCUGACCACUGAGGGCUACAACCUACUGCCUUGAACUGUCUCCUCAGCUCCAUGGAAGAGCAACACAGUUUGGGGAUAUCACCGGCACAAGGCUGGCAUGUCCUGACUUCUGGACUAUUCAGAGCAGCAGGCACCUCUCCACUGGCUCCUGGGCACUGUCCACCCCUACUGGAGUAGGUCCAAGGGGUUCAGCUGCUCCCAGAUUCCAGAGGCUGUGUGGCUGGAACCCAGGGGAGCUGGUGGAGCUGGCUUGCCCUGCUCAAGGCCAGCUCAUCCAUCUUCACCUUGCUGAAACAGUUCACUAUGAAUGGAGAGGCGAGUGUAGUGCUCCAUUUUGAUUAAUAGCAGGGAGCAGAGGGACUUUGCAGGGUCAUGUUGGGCACUUCAGCAGGGUCUGGGCUCCAAACCUGAGCCUUUGUGGAGCAUUAGGCUCCCUUCUCUUUUCCCUUCUGUGGGACUGAGAGGUGCUGGGCAGCUCAUUCCUGUCCAGAGCUACCUGGUCCCCAGUGGUCACUUCUCUCUGAAGGAUGGUGUCACAUGCCUAAGGCUGCUCCUCUAAGGUCUGAAAGAUUAGACUGGAAGUUUUAUGGGUGGGAGAUGUCCCAGGGCUGAGGUCAGAGACAGAAAUGUAAUGUCUGCCCUGCUCUGUUAUACAAUCCGCUAUUAAAUAAUCACUUGGGGUCACUGCGCCUGCCAGGCCACUGCAGCUGGCAGUGGGGCUGCUGGAAAAACAGGAUCACUGUCCACUGGACAAGAAGGAGAAGGAAAAGCAGUAACACACUUCUGGGCAGAAGAAGUCCCAUGCUCAGACCCCGUCAUUGCAAGGUGCUUUUCAGUGGCAGAAACACUCUGCGAGGACACAGCCUGUUUGUAGGAUGGUGGCAGUGGGGAGGUCGCUGUGGCUGGUGUUUGCCUGUGGGAUGCUGUGGUUGAAGUGUUCUAGCAGGGAACUGUGCCUGUCACAGGGACACUGGUUCUUCCCUGAAUCUGGGCAAGGGGAACACCCAGCCUCCAUCCAGCUCAGCUCUGUGGCCCCCAGCCCAUGACUGCUCUCUGCAUUUCCUACACCUGCAGUGGAGCCAAGGCUGGGGCAGAGCCAUGACCUGCCAUGAGCUGGAUGAUUUUCCUUAGGAGAUACAGGCCAAGUCCAGGAAAAGAAACCACGCUGGUGGGGGAAGCUCACAAAGUAAAGCUGGGAAGCAGCCACACUGCACUCAGAGCCUGAGCAUCGCUGUCCUGGGAUUCCUGUCCUCCAGCAUGCAUUUACAGCUAGCUAGCCUACUUCUGCUGGGUAGUUUCUUCCUAAUAAGGGGUUUUGGCAGGUGGCUGUGCUCCCCUGAGGGUGAGGGAGAGCAGCUCAAUACAAGCAACAAACUGGUGUGGAGCAGGGCGAGUUCUUUUUGAUUUAACUCAGAGGGUGGCACCGAAAUAGAAAUGCUGGGGGAUGACUGGAUGGUGCUGAGGAAGCUUGAGGUAUCCCUUACUUGGAUUUGCUGCCUAUGAUCAGGGAGGCAUUCUGGCUUAAUGCAGCUGUUUUGUUAUUUAAUGCCACUUGAUUUUCCUUUACACUUUCCCAAAUGUUUUAAGCUAUUCUUUGUUGUGCUUAUCCACUUUUUAAUCUGAGGUCAAAUGAUUGGAUCUUAAUCCCUGGAUCUCAAAUGAAUUUGCCUUUUGGUUUCCAGCCCUCUGCUACAGCCAGGCUUGCUGUACCCUUUUCCUUCUCUCAUUGUUUCUCUGUUUCUUGCAAGUUAGCAUUACUUGAGAAGAACAAAACUGGUGAUAUCCCCCUGAUUAAUAUUUCCAAACAAUUUUAUGUUUUUCCUUGUGAUGAGUCCCUGGAGCCUUUUUUUGUCAAACUACCUAAAUGUGAUCAUAGCUAGUGCAAUACUGUGCUUUUUGUGGCUGACUGGGUACAGAGACAGCUGUCCUGGAGUGAUCCUACAGGAUAGUACCUAAAUCAAUUUUACAGCCUUCCUGCAGGAGAGGGGGCAGGACAGACUCUGAAUCAGAUUCACAAAUCUAAAGAUGACAGGAUGCUGAUCUCAGCCCCACGCUCUGGGUUUUGCUUAAACUUGGUUUCUCAUUCCAUUGCAAUUACCCUGUGCCGCAAGUUUCUUGCUCAAAUACAUGCAAAAAGUCUUGGAGAAAGAUUAAAUAAAAAUUUUCAACAGCA